rnacentral:siRNA from 1 species
UUGGUUUCGAUAUGUAUAAGU